GACGUAGGGCGCGAGCGUUUGUCCGGAUUUAUUGGGCGUAAAGAGCUCGUAGGCGGCUUGUCGCGUCGACCGUGAAAACUCGCAGCUCAACUGCGAGCCUGCGGUCGAUACGGGCAGGCUAGAGUUCGGUAGGGGAGACUGGAAUUCCUGGUGUAGCGGUGAAAUGCGCAGAUAUCAGGAGGAACACCGGUGGCGAAGGCGGGUCUCUGGGCCGAUACUGACGCUGAGGCGCGACAGCGUGGGGAGCAAACAGG
rnacentral:rRNA from 1 species